GACGAACGCUGGCGGCGUGCCUCAGACAUGCAAGUCGUACGAGGCAGCGCAAGCUGCUUAGUGGCGGACGGGUGAGUAACACGUGGGCAAUCUGCCCGCAUGACCGGGAUAACACUUCGAAAGGGGUGCUAAUACCGGAUAAUCCAGUGGGGUCGCAUGAUCUUACUGGCGAAGGUGGCCUCUUAACAAUGCUGCCGCAUGCGGAUGAGCCCGCGUCCCAUUAGCUAGUUGGCGGGGUAAAAGCCCACCAAGGCAACGAUGGGUAGCCGGCCUGAGAGGGUGGCCGGCCACACUGGGACUGAGACAAGGCCCAGACUCCUACGGGAGGCAGCAGUCGGGAAUCUUGCACAAUGGGCGAAAGCCUGAUGCAGCGACGCCGCGUGAGCGAUGAAGGCCUUCGGGUGUAAGCUCUGUCUUAGGGAGAAGUCCCGCUGGUGAACAGCCGGUGGGGAUGACGGUACUCUAGGAGGAAGCCCCGGCUAACUAC
rnacentral:rRNA from 1 species